rnacentral:rRNA from 1 species
GACGAACGCUGGCGGCGUGCUUAACACAUGCAAGUCGAACGGAAAGGCCCUGCUUUUGUGGGGUGCUCGAGUGGCGAACGGGUGAGUAACACGUGAGUAACCUGCCCUUGACUUUGGGAUACUUCAGGAAACUGGGGCUAAUACCGGAUAGGAGCUCCUGCUGCAUGGUGGGGGUUGGAAAGUUUCGGCGGUUGGGGAUGGACUCGCGGCUUAUCAGCUUGUUGGUGGGGUAGUGGCUUACCAAGGCUUUGACGGGUAGCCGGCCUGAGAGGGUGACCGGCCACAUUGGGACUGAGAUACGGCCCAGACUCCUACGGGAGGCAGCAGUGGGGAAUAUUGCACAAUGGGCGGAAGCCUGAUGCAGCAACGCCGCGUGCGGGAUGACGGCCUUCGGGUUGUAAACCGCUUUCGCCUGUGACGAAGCGUGAGUGACGGUAAUGGGUAAAGAAGCACCGGCUAACUACGU